rnacentral:piRNA from 1 species
ACUGGGAUCAAAAGGCGCUCCACC